rnacentral:rRNA from 1 species
UACGUAGGGUGCGAGCGUUAAUCGGAAUUACUGGGCGUAAAGCGUGCGCAGGCGGUUUUGUAAGUCAGGUGUGAAAUCCCCGGGCUUAACCUGGGAAUGGCAUUUGGGACUGCAAGGCUUGAGUGUGGCAGAGGAGACUAGAAUUCCUGGUGUAGCAGUGAAAUGCGUAGAUAUCAGGAGGAAUACCGAUGGCGAAGGCAGGUCUCUGGGCUGACACUGACGCUCAUGCACGAAAGCGUGGGGAGCAAACAGG